GAUGAACGCUGGCGGCGUGCCUAACACAUGCAAGUCGAGCGAUCUUCUUCGGAAGAGAGCGGCGGACGGGUGAGUAACGCGUGGGUAACCUGCCCUGUACACACGGAUAACAUACCGAAAGGUAUGCUAAUACGAGAUAAUAUACUUUUAUCGCAUGGUAGAAGUAUCAAAGCUUUUGCGGUACAGGAUGGACCCGCGUCUGAUUAGCUAGUUGGUAAGGUAACGGCUUACCAAGGCGACGAUCAGUAGCCGACCUGAGAGGGUGAUCGGCCACAUUGGAACUGAGACACAGUCCAAACUCCUACGGGAGGCAGCAGUGGGGAAUAUUGCACAAUGGGCGAAAGCCUGAUGCAGCAACGCCGCGUGAGCGAUGAAGGCCUUCGGUCGUAAAGCUCUGUCCUCAAGGAAGAUAAUGACGGUACUUGAGGAGGAAGCCCGGCUAACUACGUGCC
rnacentral:rRNA from 1 species